CCUACGGGAGGCAGCAGUGAGGAAUAUUGGUCAAUGGGCGGGAGCCUGAACCAGCCAAGUCGCGUGAGGGAUGACGGCCCUAUGGGUUGUAAACCUCUUUUGCCGGGGAGCAAAGUGCCGCACGUGUGCGGUUUGGAGAGUACCCGGAGAAAAAGCAUCGGCUAACUCCGUGCCAGCAGCCGCGGUAAUACGGAGGAUGCGAGCGUUAUCCGGAUUUAUUGGGCUUAAAGGGAGCGUAGGCGGGCGUUCAAGUCAGCUGUAAAAUCGCGCGGCUCAACCGCGCCCCGCAGUUGAAACUGGACGCCUUGAGUUCACAACAGGCAGGCGGAAUUCGUGGUGUAGCGGUGAAAUGCAUAGAUAUCACGAGGAACCCCGAUUGCGAAGGCAGCCUGCCGGGGUGCGACUGACGCUGAGGCUCGAAGGUGCGGGUAUCAAACAGGAUUAGAUACCCGAGUAGUC
rnacentral:rRNA from 1 species